GGAGCUGGAGAAGAAGAGGGUGUGCCGAAUCAUCACCACCGACUUCCCGCUGUACUUCGUGAUCAUGUCACGGCUCUGCCAGGACUACGACACCAUCGGUCCCGAAGGGGGCUCCCUGAAGAGCAAGCUGGUGCCCCUGGUACAGGCAACGUUCCCGGAGAAUGCCGUCACCAAGAGAGUGAAGCUGGCUCUGCAGGCCCAGCCUGUCCCGGAUGAGCUUGUCACUAAGCUCCUGGGCAACCAGGCCACAUUCAGCCCCAUUGUCACCGUGGAGCCCCGGCGCCGGAAGUUCCACCGCCCCAUUGGGCUUCGGAUCCCACUGCCUCCUUCCUGGACCGACAACCCGAGGGACAGCGGGGAGGGAGACACCACCAGCCUGCGCCUGCUUUGCAGCGUCAUUGGAGGAACAGACCAAGCCCAGUGGGAAGACAUAACAGGAACCACCAAACUUGUAUAUGCCAACGAGUGCGCCAACUUCACCACCAAUGUCUCCGCCAGGUUUUGGCUGUCAGACUGUCCUCGGACUGCUGAGGCUGUGAACUUUGCCACCCUGCUGUACAAAGAGCUCACUGCAGUGCCCUACAUGGCCAAAUUCGUCAUCUUUGCCAAGAUGAAUGACCCCCGAGAGGGGCGCCUGCGCUGCUACUGCAUGACAGAUGAUAAAGUGGACAAGACCCUGGAGCAGCAUGAGAACUUCGUGGAGGUGGCCCGGAGCAGGGACAUAGAGGU
rnacentral:sRNA from 1 species